CCUAGGAAGUUUAAGACCAUGGUGCUGGCAUCUGAUAAAGUCUUCUGGUUGCAUCAUAUCAGGACAGGAAGCAUCACAUGUUUUUGAUGUAGUAAUUUAGAGUAUUGAUUCAAAAUCUCUUUUCCAAGGUAAGCCAUAAAUGUUGUAAAAUUUCUUCUUAGCAGUACAUUAGCAUUUUAUACAAUGUUCUAUUUGGAUUUUCAUUCAG
rnacentral:lncRNA from 1 species